GUCCAUGUAGCUUACAGAAAGCAUGACACUGAAGAUGUCAAGACGGCUGCUAUCCGCACCCACGGACA
rnacentral:tRNA from 1 species